rnacentral:rRNA from 1 species
GAUUGCCCUAGUAACGGCGAGUGAAGCGGCAACAGCUCAAAUUUGAAAUCUGGCCUUCUGGUCCGAGUUGUAAUUUGUAGAGGAUGAUUUUGGUUAGGUACCUUCCGAGUUCCUUGGAACAGGACGCCUUAGAGGGUGAGAGCCCCGUACGGUUGGAUGCCGAGCCUCUGUAAAUCUCCUUCGACGAGUCGAGUAGUUUGGGAAUGCUGCUCUAAAUGGGAGGUAAAUUUCUUCUAAAGCUAAAUACCGGCCAGAGACCGAUAGCGCACAAGUAGAGUGAUCGAAAGAUGAAAAGCACUUUGAAAAGAGGGUUAAAUAGUACGUGAAAUUGUUGAAAGGGAAGGAUUUAUGACCAGACCUUUGCCUUGCGGAUCAUCCGGUGUUCUCACCGGUGCACUUCGCUUGGUUGAGGCCAGCAUCAGUUUUGGCGGCGGGAUAAAGACUUCAGGAACGUGACUCCCCCGGGAGUGUUAUAGCCUGCUGUGUAAUACCGCCGCUGGGACUGAGGACCGCGCUUCGGCUAGGAUGCUGGCAUAAUGGUCAUCAAUCACCCGUCUUGAAACACGGACCAAGGAGUCGAACAUUUAUGCGAGUUUUUGGGUGUUAAACCCUCAAGCGUAAUGAAAGUGAACGGAGGUGAGAGCCCUUACGGGUGCAUCAUCGACCGAUCCUGAUGUCUUCGGAUGGAUUUGAGUAAGAGCAUAACUGUUCGGACCCGAAAGAUGGUGAACUAUGCGUGGAUAGGGUGAAGCCAGAGGAAACUCUGGUGGAGGCUCGCAGCGGUUCUGACGUGCAAAUCGAUCGUCAAAUCUGCGCAUGGGGGCGAAAGACUAAUCG